CCAAACCCGCCCGGCCAACCCAUCUGCAACCCGACCCGCUCCCCAAAUAAUGGAUUAAACCCAAAUGAAACAAGCGAACGAGCCCUAAGUCCCAAACCGAUGCCUACUGUUCUUCUUCUCCAAAAUCACUCGAACCAAGCCCCAAAUUCAGUCCAAAUUCGGGCGAGUGAAUCCCAAAUCACACCUCACACGUUCCCCCUCUCUCCUUAUCACCAUUUCUAACAGUUUCUAACACCAAAGAUUCCCCUCUCCUCUCACUCGCUCGAAUUCGAGUUUUAUCGCACGAUUGGAAGGCUCUGGAGAUGAGAUGUUGGAGGAGUGUGAGGCAUUGGAUUGAUUUCACUCAAUCCGAGCCCCACAUUCAUCAAGGAUUGGUCUUCAAAAUAAGCCUUAUCCGAUUUUGUGAGGGGGGGACUCAAAAGAAUUUUCUGAAAAAAAAGGGUUAAAAAGCUUGUUGAACUGAUGGUUUUCGGGGUUGAUAUUCUUCUUUGAAGAGUCCUUAAAGGUUUAAGAGAAGUAUAGGUACAAAUUUUUCUAUUUUCCUGAAUCCGGAUUUGAGUUUCAAGGAGAUAAAAGUUGAAGUUCAGGCUUGGAUUUCUAUGGUUGUUCUGUUGAUUUGCUGCUGAACUUCGCUAGUAUUCGAAGGCAAGAGGUGUAUUAUUAAGGCUGUAAUUGUUAAAAGAAGUUCGUAACUUCAGGUUUGGUUUUCUUUCUCACAUAUAACUCUGGUUUUAGCUGUUCUUGAGCUAUGGAAUUUCUGAGUUUGCAUCUCUUUGUUGUUGUCAUUUAAGUUUUUGUGGGAUCGAAUCAGUGAAUUCGAGUUUAGUUUCUUAUUGAUUUGUGACUAGCUGAGAAUUUUAUUUUUUUUGUGUAAAGUCUGUUGAGCUAUGUUGAUUUUCUUUGAUGUGAUGUGGCUGAGAACUUGGUUCGCGUCUGUUUGUUUGACAUUGUUUAGACUUAAAACUAGAGGCUGAGGUCCAGUUGUGUGAGUUGAGCUCAACCUUGAAGUUCUGGGAAUUGGAAAAUAGUUUCUCGUUUCUACUUUAGUCUUGAUUCAUCGAGUCUUAAAGCUCGGCGCAAAGCUGCAUUGGUUCGUGUUGUAUUGAGUUAGACCCGUGUUGGUUUUUCUUGGUUUCUUCAUGUUAAAUGGUACGAGCAGUAGGAUUCUCUGUUGCCUACAGGAACUUGUGAAUUUGGUAUGAUGCUCGACGAUUCAUUCUUAUUUGAUCAUGGUCUAAAGUGUUGUUGAAGAUAAAUUGUUUUGUGAAUUGUAUAUGUUCAGUUUUGCUCUGUUUUUUGCUCUAGCUCGAAAAUUUAUCUGCUUUGUUCCUGCUAUAAGAAUUCUGCUCUUUCGAGUUGCUGAAGAGGUCGAUUUAAGCAGUAAUUCAAGCCGAUAACGUGCAGUAUUUUGGACAUUUGUCCAGACUGUUAUCCCUGCUGAAAAUCUGCCCUGUUUUGCGUUGUUUGAGCAGCAGAUGCGUAGUCUUUUGGGUGCAAAUUCUGCACUCUUGGCUCUCAUUGGUUUGGUUGCUGGAUAGUUUAGUAUCUAAUUGAGGUUUUAACUUUGACUGCUAGUUGUGUAAGAUAAGUUUAUCUUCAGCCAUUUGCUGAACAGCUUUGAGUUGUUUACCCUCACACUCUUGUAUGUUCCUCACCCCAACAGAUUCGCUGGUCAGCAGACAAUCUGACUUAAGUGAACGUCGCUGAUCAGUGACCUUUCUCAUCAUCAUGCUCGGGUUAAUUUUUCAUUAGAAGCGCUUUUGUUUGUGAUGUUAUCUUUAUAUACUAUUAACAGUAACCUAUUGUUGAAUUUUCCAGCAUGCCAGUUCACUUAUUUUAAUUGGAGUAGGCGUACAUCUGUCAUUUUGAUUCCAUGGAAUUGUGGUCUUACUUGGGAAACAUUAUGAAAAAUGCAAAUGUAAUUGAAAUUGUUUGUUUGUCAUCUCAUUGGAGCAACACUGCCAUGAUUAGUACUCCAAAGAAGGAAAUCGAAAGUUGCUCAAUACUAUCUUGUGGAGAAAACGAAAUUUUGGCCAAAAUUGAUCCCUGAAGCAACUGGGAAAAUCGUGAGUCUCUAGGACAUCUCUGGCUGACUAAAAGAGAUGUACUAAGAUGGAGUUAUUAUCUGUUUUGGUCUUAUAGCUUUACCUCAUUUUAAGUUAUUAUAGUUUCAGAAGUUUUCAUUAUCUAGAUAGAGUUGGAUAACGCCUAGUGUAUCACCCUAAGCAUGUGUAUAAUUAAUAGCCUUAUUGAAACAUCAAAUUAGUUUUAAAUAUGAACUUUUUUAGCUUGAUUUAGUUGAGGACAAUCCUUAGAAAUCGAGGCACGCCAUUUAGCGAAUUUUUCAUGGCCCUCGCAAAGUUGCAAACGCGUAGUUGUCUUAGGCGCGUUAUUUUAAUAAUUUACCUUCCUAAACUCGGGUGCGCAUUUAUGUGACCCAAAUCCAAAUCUCAACGAUGUUAAAAUAUGCCAAAAUCACGGGUGCAUUUAUGUGACGUGGUUCGAGACGUGUUUUAACAACGUUGCAAUUUUCUUUAAAGAAUAAAUAAAAGCGAUUAAAGUUAAAAUUGGCAUAUAGGUUCAUAAUUUUUUAAAAUCAAAUAAUUAAGCCGAAUAUAACAGUUGAGCGACCGUGCUAGAACCAUGGAGCUCGGGAGUGCCUAACACCUUCUCCCAGGUUAACAGAAUUCCUUACCUGGAUUUCUGGUUCGCAGACUGUUAGACAGAGUCAAUCUUUUCCUCGAUUCGGGAUUGGAACCGGUGACUUGGGACACCAUAAAUCUCCCAAGUGGCGACUCUGAAUCUUUAAAUGAAAUAAUCCCAUUUUGAUUGUCCUUUAAUUGAAAAAACUCCCUUGUAUUUAUACCCCUUCCGGGGGUGUAGGUAAAAAAGAAGGUGUGACAUCCUCAAUAAAACCUAGUGGCAUGCAUGGUCAUAUGAUGCUGUUUCUGUCAAAGUUUUGAAGAUUAGAUUCGACGAAGACUAAUGUUGCUCAGUUGUUCUUGACAAAGAACAAAUGUGUAAUAUCAGUCUCGUUAAAUCAAGGUCUACAGCAGGUUGUUGAUUUCUGAAAUGGUAAGUGUUUUCAUUCUUUUAAUCCAUUUCAUCUCCUUUCCUCUCCCUUUCUUUAGUUAGAUUUUUUUUACUCCCUUUGAAAACUCGACCAAUCUGUUGAGUUCAAACUGUUCUCUGCUCGUUGUCCCCUUUGUUUCUUUUUGUGAAAGUUGUUCUAUGAUUCUUAUUGGUCCGCUGACUAAGUUCAUCUAAUUAGGUCGUUUGUUUUAAUAACCUAACUAAUUUCAUGUUUGUUUGUUGAUAUUAAUCAAUCAUAUAGUAGUUGUUAUUAAUCAGUCGUAUGUUGAAUCCAUUUAAGUAGUCGAUUUUGUUUUCUGCCUUCCAUAUGAUCGCAGAAAUUAGUUUGGAUCACAGACAGUAGCUCAAGGACUUUGGGUCAAUUUGACUCGUUUGUUAGGUUUGAGUAAUUAACAUGGGUUGUAAGGGUAGCCUAGGGAUUAUUUAGGUUGUGUGAACCUUACCUAACUAAUUAAGAAGCUUCUAAUAGUGGUAAGGUUUAGGAGUGCAUUAUUGAAUAAAAUAAAGAGCAAAGAAUUGAGUGGAAUCAAUUAAGAAAUUGGGGAAGGGGCAUUUGUGAAUAGGGAAUUGAUUUUAGGUUGCCUUAAGAGAUCCUAUAUAAAGCUUGCUUAGGAAAAGACUGAAGGGGAAGGGACAGAAUAUGGAUUCCAAAGAAAAAGAAACAGAGAUAUACAAGUUUAAGAGGGAGGACAGAAUAAGAGAGAGACCUAGGAGAUAAAAAUCCAAAAAUACAAACGGUUGUUUUUCACUGUUUGAUUGAAUUCCUUCUGUGAUCUCUUCAGUUUCUAAUUACUGAAAUAGUUUCUAACUUAUCUGGGCUCAAAUGAUUUGAAAUUGGUGGUUUAAAAGCUUGGUUUGAAGUUCUAGUUGUGGAUUUUUGAUUUUUGAGCAUCAGUCUUUGGUUUAAAGCUGUUUUUCUUUUGUGGUUUCUUUCUGCUGCUGGAUAAUGUUGUUGUUACUGCUGAUCUUAUCCCCUUUACUUUUAUUUCCAGGUAUUUUCUUAGUCCAGAAAUACUGAUUGAAUGCUGGUUAUGAGAAUCAAGUGGAAUCAGAUGGAAUAUAGGUUGUAUUUGCCAUAGUUUCUCUUUGUUUUUUUUCCUUACUGUUUAAAUACCAUGUAGUAGAUUGGUAAUGGUAGAUAUUAAACGAGCUGGUACUGGUAUUAUAAAAUGGGGUUUGUGUUUUAGCCAAUUGUUUAGUUUCAACAUUAAAUAACAUGUUUAGAAGGUGUAGGAGCAGGUUUGUGGAUUGUUUGUAUGGCAAAUGAACUGUAGGCCUCAAUUAUUCAGUUUAUUUUGAUUUGUGCUCUGGAUCACAGAUUUUUUGCUUAAGUUUCUAUCAAAAAUCAGUAAGGUUUUGGUUCUAAUGUUUAUCUGAAUCCAUUAAAAUGUUAGGUGUUUGGCUUGUACGUGUGUUGAUGUUGUUUUAUAAGCAUAUUUGCCCAUGAGCCUAAGGUUUGAGAUCAUGUUUGUUCAUUAGGACCCUUUACAAGUCUCCAUUUAUCAUGUACAUGGAUUAAGCCAAGGUUUGAAUGAAUUUGAAAUUUGUAUGACUG
rnacentral:lncRNA from 1 species